rnacentral:miRNA from 1 species
UACAGCGACUUUGGAGGGAGCAUGACCCUGCUGACACCUUGAUUUUGGACUUCUAGCCUCCAGAACUAUGAGAAUAAAUUUCUGUUGUUUUAAACCACCCAGUUGGUGGUACUUUGUUGCAGCAGCCUUUGGAAC